CUUGUAGCAACUUGUUGCGAACAGCCUGUAUUAGUUUUGUUGGAACAACUUGUAGCAAGUCUGUUAGUGACUGCAUGUUACCGUCAUCAACCUUGUAACAAUUAAGGUGAUAACAACUUGUUAUAACAACUGGGAACAAUUUAUUACAACUUGUUUGCAGAUCCGCAACAACUUAAUUGCGCGUUUUUAUGUGUGUAGAUGCUUUAUUUUAAAUGCAGAAAGUGCAAACGUACUGCAGUAUUUUAGAGUCGAAAAAAUGUCAUCUAAAUGUCAUGAUCUGUGAAAACUAACUAUAUUUUACAAUCUGGGUUAAGUGCAAUGUAGCUAUUUACAAAGAAGAGAAAUUUUUAUAUGCUUUAGAGCUGUGCGGUUAACCGAAAAAUUCGGUUCUUCCGGUACUUUUUUCAGCACCGAAAAACCAUACGCAAAAAACCGGUAGUUUCGGUUUUAAUUUCCCGUUUAACGCCC